UACGUAGGGGGCAAGCGUUGUCCGGAUUUAUUGGGCGUAAAGAGCGUGUAGGCGGCCAUACAGGUCAGCUGUGAAAACUCGAGGCUCAACCUCGAGACGUCGGUUGAAACCGUAUGGCUAGAGUCCGGAAGAGGAGAGUGGAAUUCCCGGUGUAGCGGUGAAAUGCGCAGAGUAUCGGGAAGAACACCCGUGGCGAAGGCGGCUCUCUGGGACGGUACUGACGCUGAGACGCGGAAAGCGUGGGGAGCGAACAGG
rnacentral:rRNA from 1 species